AGUGAACGCUGGCGGUAGGCCUAACACAUGCCAGUCGAACGGCAGCACAGUAAGAGCUUGCUCUUACGGGUGGCGAGUGGCGGACGGGUGAGGAAUACAUCGGAAUCUACUUUUUCGUGGGGGAUAACGUAGGGAAACUUACGCUAAUACCGCAUACGACCUACGGGUGAAAGCAGGGGAUCUUCGGACCUUGCGCGAUUGAAUGAGCCGAUGUCGGAUUAGCUAGUUGGCGGGGUAAAGGCCCACCAAGGCGACGAUCCGUAGCUGGUCUGAGAGGAUGAUCGGCCACACUGGAACUGAGACACGGUCCAGACUCCUACGGGAGGCAGCAGUGGGGAAUAUUGGACAAUGGGCGCAAGCCUGAUCCAGCCAUACCGCGUGGGUGAAGAAGGCCUUCGGGUUGUAAAGCCCUUUUGUUGGGAAAGAAAGGCAGCAGGUUAAUACCCCGCUGUUCUGACGGUACCCAAAGAAUAAGCACCGGCUAACUUCGUG
rnacentral:rRNA from 1 species